UGUCUCCACCCCAUCGCAAACCCCUCCUCCCUUCCCCUUCUAGAUCCACCGGCGAGCCCUUCCUCACCGCAUAGCCACCCCCGCGCCCAUCCAUGGCAUCCCCCGCGCCCUUCCAUCAGCAUCCAUGGCCUCCCCCGCGCCCUUCCUCACUGCAUCGCCACCCCGACCCCCUCCCUUCCUCUCCCCGACGCCCCCUCGCUCCGGGCCUUCAUCCUCUCCGGCCAGAUCAACCGGGCGCGGCCCCUACCCUAGGCAGGGAGGGUGGAUCGCCGCUGCGCGGGCGCACGGGAAGGGGCGGCGGCGGAAGCGCAUCCCCAAGAUCUAGCCCGUCAAGCACCGUGUCGAAGUCUCUCCUUCGAGGAGCUCUAUGUGCGGGUGUGCGGAGGCGCUCGUGAGGGCGGUGGUGGCCUUCUUCGACGCCUUCCUCGUCGACUGCUUCCUCUUCUGGUUCCGCCGCUGCCGCCCCCUGCCCCGGCCCCGACAGCCCCGCCUCCGCCCACCGGGAUCCGCUCGUGCCCAAGGACUGGACAGGGGAGGCGCUCCGGGCCUCGGACGAAGAGAAAGGUUUUGCAGAGAGCACAUUGUCGAACCAGCAGAUGGCGAUGACACAGAUGAGGAGCUUAGGCGAGAGGUACGCCUAGCAGAGCACCGUUAAAUGAAUUUCUGUUACUUUUUCAGUCACAUGCGUGAGGAAUGGUUGUGUUGUGCGGUUAUUGUUACUGUCAGGUUGUAGCUCUAGGUCGAUUGUGUUGUGGCUGACCUCUCUGCUGCUGGUUGGACGCCUGUGUGAUACUGUUUCAAGUUUUGCAGAGAGCACAGGCUCGAAUGAACAGUGUGUGUGGAACGAAUUCUUGUCUGAAUUCUCUUCUUGUGGGAGUAUGAACUUGCUUGCAGUAUAUUGGAGUAUCAACUUGGAGCAUCUAGUUAGAGUAGCAUCUUGCAACACAUUCGAUUACUCUAGUACUGAUAGUUACAGUAGAAUCUUGCAAAAUGGAGUAGUUAGAGUAGCAUCUUCGAUUAACUAAAUUGAUGAUAGUUGUUGUUAAGUUGGGACUUGCAAGCAGUAGUGCUUGCAAGCAGUAGUUCCCUCUUCUUAUCUCUUCUUGCUUGCAGUAGUUUAAUUUAUGGUUUGUCUUUAGUGGAGUAUUUCUUGAACUGUGUUGUAUUCCUGUGACUAAAUGGUGAAUCCAGUUACAGCAAAGCAUCAUCUCCUUGUCAGCUUAAGUGUAAUGGAGCUGUUUUGUUACUCUAUGCCUACUUCGUUACAGUUUGCAUCAUCAUCUUGUCGUUUAUAGCAUAAACGCCUUCACUAUUCUUGCUCUGAACCUUUGAUCCUGAUACUGAUUGUAUUUGUCUUGAUGGAAUUAUAGGCAACAUGGUGAAUCUAGUACAGGCAUCGUUGGCCAUCCUCUUCGAGGCUGUGUUUAGGUGAUUCCUCGGGUAGCCAUGACACUACUCUGGCUGAUUAGUACCCAGUGGCAUGUUUGUAAUAUUUACAGGGAUUUUACUUGUAGAAAUAAUGCUCAUGGUAUAUUUUUAUGUCCUGCAGCACAUGCUCUUUUUCGGUCUGUACGGAAUCUUGAAUGGUGUUUUGGCAGCUGGGAUAUUAGAUUGCACUUCUUUAUGUGAUUUACUCAUGAUGAGCUGCAGCAGGACGACCUGUAGCGGAAGGACUUCAAGGGCAAGAUCAAGGAGAACCAGGAGAUGAUCACCGGUUACCUCAUCCUCGUCGGCAUGGUUGGCUCCUUUGGCACACCCCUCUUCGGCUCCCACCAACUUACUUUUGUCGCUGGCUAGCAGCAUUUCCAGGUGUUGCGUGUUCUGGAAGAUGGAAGAGGAAGAAAAUUUAUUUUUGUUGAACUAUUUUUUUGUAUUAUGUUUUGUUGUACAUAUGAUUUGAUAGUUUUGUAUAGGAACAUGUGAUACUAUUUUGUAGGGCUUUACAGCCUGUGAUGUAAACAUAUUUAGUGAUGAAUUAUGAAAUUAUUUGCAAAAUUUAUCGAAAA